GUAUUCAAAAAUGAAGAUGUAAAACCUUAUCUGUGUUGGAGGAUGAAAGCAAAUUUUUUGGCUGCUUCUCGGAUUUGAUACCAUAAGUUCACUCUCAUUGAAGGGACCCGUAUUCCUUUGGGUUCAUCCUCUCAGAUCCCUUUGGUAACAAUAAUUCAUGGUCCAGCAAUAUCUCAGUAAAAGCAUCAUCAUAUCAUGAUGAAGAUGAUGAUGAUGAUGAUGAUAUAAAUAAAACAAAAAACCCACCCAC
rnacentral:lncRNA from 1 species